AGAGUUUGAUCCUGGCUCAGGAUGAACGCUAGCGGCAGGCUUAAUACAUGCAAGUCGUGGGGCAGCGCGGGUAGCAAUACCUGGCGGCGACCGGCAAACGGGUGCGGAACACGUACGCAACCUUCCUUUAAGUGAGGAAUAGCCCAGGGAAACUUGGAUUAAUACCUCGUAACACUAUGAGAUGGCAUCAUCUUAUAAUUAUAGCUACGGCGCUUAAAGAUGGGCGUGCGGCUGAUUAGGUAGUUGGCGGGGUAACGGCCCACCAAGCCUACGAUCAGUAACUGGUGUGAGAGCACGACCAGUCACACGGGCACUGAGACACGGGCCCGACUCCUACGGGAGGCAGCAGUAAGGAAUAUUGGUCAAUGGACGCAAGUCUGAACCAGCCAUGCCGCGUGGAGGAUGAAGGUCCUCUGGAUUGUAAACUUCUUUUAUCUGGAAAGAAACCCAUCUUUUCUAAGGUGGUUGACGGUACCAGAUGAAUAAGCACCGGCUAACUCCGUGCCAGCAGCCGCGGUAAUACGGAGGGUGCAAGCGUUAUCCGGAUUCACUGGGUUUAAAGGGUGCGUAGGUGGGCAGGUAAGUCAGUGGUGAAAUCUCUGGGCUUAACCCAGAAACUGCCGUUGAUACUAUCUGUCUUGAAUAUAGUGGAGGUGAGCGGAAUAUGUCAUGUAGCGGUGAAAUGCUUAGAUAUGACAUAGAACACCCAUUGCGAAGGCAGCUCCUACACUAUUAUUGACACUGAGGCACGAAAGCGUGGGGAUCAAACAGGAUUAGAUACCCUAGUAGUCC
rnacentral:rRNA from 1 species